GAGGGGCUUGCGGCCUAUCAGCUAGAUGGCGGGGUAACGGCUCACCAUGGCGACGACGGGUAGCUGGUCUGAGAGGAUGGUCAGCCGGACUGGGACUGAGAUACGGCCCAGACUCCUACGGGGGGCAGCAAUUAGGAAUCUUGCGCAAUGGGCGAAAGCCUGACGCAGCGACGCCGCGUGGAGGAGGAAGUCUUUCGGGAUGUAAACUCCUUUUAGGUAGGAAGAAACAAAUGACGGUACUACCUGAAUAAGCCCCGGCUAACUACGUGCCAGCAGCCGCGGUAAUACGUAGGGGGCGAGCGUUGUCCGAAGUUACUGGGCGUAAAGCGCGCGUAGGCGGGGUGGCAAGUCCGCUGUGAAAGCCCGGAGCUUAACUCCGGAGGGUCGGUGGAUACUGCCACUCUUGAAGGGACUAGGGGGAGAUGGAAUUACCGGUGUAGCGGUGAAAUGCGUAGAGAUCGGUAGG
rnacentral:rRNA from 1 species